CUGUACUGCCUCUUUAAGGAAAAUCAGACCUCUCUGAUUGCGACCCAUUGCAAUUGGCCCCUGGAUUGGACACGUUUAAGGACCCAGGAAGCAGGGCUGUUGGUUUGGGGCUGCUUUUUAACCCCUUGGCGUCCAGGAAGGGCUGCGCACCACAAAAUGGGAUGAAAUGCACCGCUGGCUGGCUCUGUGUGCCACUGUAAUGGACUUUUCUUUCUCUUCGCCGUGGGCAAGUAGGUGUCUAAAUAAGGUGAGGAUGCCACAAUAGGAUAUAAGACAGAUGAUUAACCCAGACGUACUAAGUACAGGGCUGAUAGGUGCUCUCCCAGCAUAAUGUACAAGUUUAGGAAAAAGAAGAAAGAAAGUGGAAUUUAUAAGGAGCCCAAAUUAAGAUUCCAACCAUGACUGGCAAAAUAAAUUAUUAAUUAAUGUACGUCAGGAUGAGAACAAGCGAGCAAACAUUUUUGUCAUUUGGUUGGACAGAAGGUCAAAAGGAGUCCUCUGCCCGGCAUAUAGAGGGUGUUUUACUGCUUCUGGAUUAGGCCCGUGGAUCCCCCUGGCUCCGGCAGACUGAUCCGGCUCCCAUUCCCUCCUGCGCUAGUGCCCCAGGCUUUGGGAAACGGAGACUCUUGCUACCUACAGCAAUGUACAGUAACAGCAGACCUGCUACCACAUCGAUGUUAUCGGCUGAAUGUGCGGAGGAGAAACAAUACGUAGAAUGGCUGUAUUACACCGACCAACCCAUCAUGUCUGUACUCCAUGUACUAUAUAAUGCUAAUAGAGAGAUGAAAAGGGCAAAGAAAUCGGGGUAACUGCUUAUAAUUGCAUGUCCAGGUGGAUCCAGGCACACCCAGUGCUGAAACACUGUCCCUAAUCUGCAACACGUGAUGCCAUUAGCACAAAUAUAUCAUAUCAUUUUUAUAUGCUCUAUGCAGUCAUUAAAUACUAGUUUAUUAGAUACAAAUGUAAUAUAUUUUUAAAUUAUUUUAAAAGCAAUACCUUUUCUUUCUAUGUAUUAAAUCAAGAAAUAAUUACAAAUAUCGCUAAACUGCUAUUCAUUGAUCAGUUGGAAGUUAAUUAGCUAAUUCAGAAUUUAUUCUGCAGCUGGACAAUAAAAUACAUAUUAUUCUUCUUCUUAU